rnacentral:rRNA from 1 species
AUACGGAGGGUCCAAGCGUUAUCCGGAAUCAUUGGGUUUAAAGGGUUCGCAGGCGGUCAAUUAAGUCAGAGGUGAAAGCCCAUCGCUCAACGAUGGAACUGCCUUUGAUACUGGUUGACUUGAGUUAUACGGAAGUAGAUAGAAUAAGUAGUGUAGCGGUGAAAUGCAUAGAUAUUACUUAGAAUACCGAUUGCGAAGGCAGUCUACUACGUAUAUACUGACGCUGAGGGACGAAAGCGAGGGGAGCGAACAGGAUUAGAUACCCCUGUAGUCC